CUGCUAUCGGAUUGAUACUAAGCCAUGCGAGUCUUUGUAGUAAUACAAGGCAGACGGCUCAGUAACACGUAGUCAACCUACCCUAUGGACAAGAAUAAUCUCGGGAAACUGGGCAUAAUUCUUGAUAGAUCAUAAUGCCUGGAAUGGUUUAUGGUUAAAAUGAUUCGUCGCCAUAGGAUGGGACUGCGGCCUAUCAGCUUGUUGGUGAGGUAAUGGCCCACCAAGGCGAUUACAGGUACGGGCUCUGAGAGGAGAAGCCCGGAGAUGGGUACUGAGACACGGACCCAGGCCCUAUGGGGCGCAGCAGGCGAGAAAACUUUGCAAUGUGCGAAAGCACGACAAGGUUAAUCCGAGUGAUUUCUGCUAAAGAAAUCUUUUGCCAGUCAUAAAACCACUGGUGAAUAAGGGGUGGGCAAGUUCUGGUGUCAGCCGCCGCGGUAAAACCAGCACCUCAAGUGGUCAGGAUGAUUAUUGGGCCUAAAGCAUCCGUAGCCGGCUUUGUUAGUUUUCGGUUAAAUCCAUGUGCUCAACGCAUGGGCUGCCGAAAAUACUGCAUAGCUAGGGAGUGGGAGAGGUAGACGGUACUCAGUAGGUAGGGGUAAAAUCCUUUGAUCUAUUGAUGACCACCUGUGGCGAAGGCGGUCUACCAGAACACGUUCGACGGUGAGGGAUGAAAGCUGGGGGAGCAAACCGGAUUAGAUACCCGGGUAGUCCCAGCUGUAAACGAUGCAGACUAGAUGAUGCAUUGGCAUAAUAGCCAUUGCAGUGUCUCAGGGAAGCCGUUAAGUCUGCCGCCUGGGAAGUACGUACGCAAGUAUGAAACUUAAAGGAAUUGGCGGGGGAGCACCACAAGGGGUGAAGCCUGCGGUUCAAU
rnacentral:rRNA from 1 species